UACGUAGGUGGCAAGCGUUGUCCGGAAUUAUUGGGCGUAAAGCGCGCGCAGGCGGUCCUUUAAGUCUGAUGUGAAAGCCCACGGCUCAACCGUGGAGGGUCAUUGGAAACUGGGGGAACUUGAGUGCAGAAGAGGAAAGUGGAAUUCCACGUGUAGCGGUGAAAUGCGUAGAGAUGUGGAGGAACACCAGUGGCGAAGGCGACUUUCUGGUCUGUAACUGACACUGAGGCGCGAAAGCGUGGGGAGCGAACAGG
rnacentral:rRNA from 1 species